rnacentral:rRNA from 1 species
UACGUAGGUGGCAAGCGUUGUUCGGAAUUAUUGGGCGUAAAGGGCGCGUAGGCGGUUUGUUAAGUCGGCUGUGAAAGCCCGGGGCUCAACCCCGGAGGGUCAGCCGAUACUGGCAGACUAGAGUACGGAAGAGGUAGCUGGAAUUCCCGGUGUAGCGGUGAAAUGCGUAGAUAUUGGGAGGAACACCAGUGGCGAAGGCGGUCCCCUGGGCCGGAACUGACGCUGAGGCGCGAAAGCGUGGGUAGCAAACGGG